ACGGAAGGCAGCAGUGGGGGAUAUUGCACAAUGGGGGAAGCCCUGAUGCAGCGACGCCGCGUGAGUGAUGAAGUAUUUCGGUAUGUAAAGCUCUAUCAGCAGGGAAGAUAAUGACGGUACCUGACUAAGAAGCCCCGGCUAACUACGUGCCAGCAGCCGCGGUAGUACGUAGGUUGCAAGCGUUGUCCGGAUUUACUGGGUGUAAAGGGCGUGUAGGCGGAGCUGCAAGUCAGAUGUGAAAUCCCGGGGCUCAACCCCGGAACUGCAUUUGAAACUGUAGCCCUUGAGUAUCGGAGAGGCAAGCGGAAUUCCUAGUGUAGCGGUGAAAUGCGUAGAUAUUAGGAGGAACACCAGUGGCGAAGGCGGCUUGCUGGACGACAACUGACGCUGAGGCGCGAAAGCGUGGGGAGCAAACAGGAUUAGAUACCCUGGUA
rnacentral:rRNA from 1 species